GUAGGGUGCAAGCGUUGUCCGGAAUUACUGGGUGUAAAGGGAGCGCAGGCGGACCGGCAAGUUGGAAGUGAAAACUAUGGGCUCAACCCAUAAAUUGCUUUCAAAACUGCUGGCCUUGAGUAGUGCAGAGGUAGGUGGAAUUCCCGGUGUAGCGGUGGAAUGCGUAGAUAUCGGGAGGAACACCAGUGGCGAAGGCGACCCACUGGGCACCAACUGACGCUGAGGCUCGAAAGCAUGGGUAGCAAACAGGAUUAGAUACCCUGGUAGUCCAUGCCGUAAACGAUGAUUACUAGGUGUUGGAGGAUUGACCCCUUCAGUGCCGCAGUUAACACAAUAAGUAAUCCACCUGGGGAGU
rnacentral:rRNA from 1 species